CAAACACUCAGACUCUCCUGAUGAACCCUUGCUAAUUCCUAGUUGAUUGACUGAUUCAUUUAUUCCACAAAAUUUUUGAGCGUAUAAUAAUAUUGAAUUUUUAUAAAGUGUGUACUGUGUACCAAGUACUGUGAAAGACACUUUAAAGCAUAUCUUAAUCCUCAGAAGGAAAUUUGCAGGAAGAAAUUAUUAUACCCAUUUUACAGAUUAGGCUUAAUGAGGUACAGUA
rnacentral:lncRNA from 1 species